UCCAAAAACAAAAACUGAAAUUAAAGUAGUUUUCGCUUUAACUGUUAUUUACUAAUAAUUUCUAAGAUCUGCAUAAUAUUUAUACAAAACUAUGAUGAUAUAAUAUUUAAAUAGACUUGGGUUUGUACGUGCUUAACUAUUUUGUUUGCAUAAUUAAUACAGUUCAUCAAGCAAAUCUACAAAAUUGUGGCCAACCGUCCCGCAAUCUGCGGAACCAUCCCGUAAUACUGGAUGCAGUCCCGUUUUGUAAGAAUUCGUAAAGCAACAGGUCAUUUCAUAGACGGGACUACUAGCAAGCUUUGUAAUUUAACGCUCGAAAACUUCACUUGGAGUCGGCGACCGGUGCAAGUUGCAAUUAACAGCGCCGCCGUCUGUCGAAACUCGA